GACGUAGGGCGCGAGCGUUGUCCGGAUUUAUUGGGCGUAAAGAGCUCGUAGGCGGCUUGUCGCGUCGAAUGUGAAAACCCACGGCUCAACUGUGGGCUUGCAUUCGAUACGGGCAGGCUAGAGUUCGGUAGGGGAGACUGGAAUUCCUGGUGUAGCGGUGAAAUGCGCAGAUAUCAGGAAGAACACCCGUGGCUAAGGCGGCUCUCUAGUACGGUACUGACGCUGAGACGCGAAAGCGUGGGGAGCGAACAGG
rnacentral:rRNA from 1 species